CAGCAGGUGGCCGAGCUCUCGGGCGGCGAGCGGUUCCGGCUCGCGCUCGCGCGGCUGCUCCUCGCGGAUCCGGCGCCGCGCCUCCUGC
rnacentral:tRNA from 1 species